ensembl:ncRNA lncRNA:CR44268 long non-coding RNA:CR44268
ACUGCAAUCCCAAAAUGCAUUCUACUAAACACAUCACACAAUCACUAAAACGCCAGAAGAUCCAAUUGCUUCGAAUGCACAGCCGACAGUCGCCGAGCCCAUAGGCAUCGUAAAUCGGACAUGUACACCAAUAUUCCAACACAACUGCCGCAACUCCGUAGGCAAUUCCAAGAUAAUGCAUAAUUUAAAUAAUAAGUCAAAUUAU